CGGUGUGAUUAGUCCACGGCGUCUCCAUUUUGGGCUCCGGAGGAAGUGGGCCAUUUGGUGUUUUGUUGUGGGAGGCGUAUGGGUUAACCCUAGUUUUCUGUUCUGCGGAUUGGUGAUGUUGUGCCAAACACACUAUCCGAUUUUCAUACAUUUGGAUUCGUGGUCCAAUGUGUGAUUGCAUGUGUGGCGUUAUUUUGACUUGCCUGUGUGGCAUUGUUUUGAUUUGCCUAUGUGGCAUUAUUUUGGUUGCCUAUGUGGCAUCAUUUGAUUUGCCUGUGUGGCAUUAUUUUGACUUGCCUGUGUAGCAAGGUAUAUUCUGAGCUCAUUCGGUAUGAAAUAACUCCAGCCAUUUGUUUCAGCCUAUUAUUUUAUUGGAUCAGUUUUGUUGGUUUCUGUUCAGUUCAAGUCAUUGAGUUAGUUACUUCAGUUCGUUAUUUCUUUAUUCUUUUAUUGGUUUUGUCAAUUAUGUUGAUUCAGAUAUAUUCCAUUCAGAUCUUUGGAUAUUAUAUUUUCGUUCGUAUUUGCACUCGAGGCUGUGUUCAGUAUUUUGUCUCAGUUGUUUUCGUAUAUCAGUUGUAUAUCUUUUGUAUAUCUGUAUCCGUAC
rnacentral:lncRNA from 1 species